GCAAAAAUUCCCCUGACAGGGAGUACUUUUAAAUUUCAAAUCCUUUAGGGGAUAAUUGGCCAGACUGCUCGGCAGGAGCCACAGCAAAAUCCAAGCAGGCAGCUGUGGGACUGCUAUAGCCGGCCCUUUGCUCGGGCCUUUCUGAGCAGGAAGCGAGUCGCUCGCUGCCCCCGGGUGCGGGCGCGCAGGACCAGCAGCUGCCCCCAGCCACGGGCGCGCCACCUGUUUCCGCCUGGGACUUCCCCCAGCCGGCUCCGAAGUGUGGAGUCAGCAGCUUGGCCUGGCCCGGCAUCAGGGGCCCAGCGCAGCCCUACCCCACCGCCGCCUCCCGUGAGGCCCCGCCUGGAAGAGGCGUGGACUGCACCCUGGUGCGCGCGUUCUGGGCUUGGCCUUGAAAAUCAGGAUGGCGAUGACCGCUGAGCAGUGUGAAGAGUGUUCAUCCACCAGACCCUUCCACCAGGCCACCCUGCCUUGGAGCCCACCAAACAUGGACUGAAACCUCCUAAACUAACCAUCUGAGAUGCUUCUGACAUUGUCACGCCACUCCUAAAUACCUGUAUCUCCUAUGAACAAAAUGCAGUCCACUGACACAGUCAUCAAGAAAUGGCAGAGAAAGAAAGAAUCUGGAUUUCCAAGGGGAAGGACAACUGGUUUUACAAACUGCCUCUGCAAACAAAGCAACCAAAGCCUGGAAUUUGAACUUGCUUACUUAGAAGCCUCUACAAAUCCCAGAAUAUGAAAACUGCCUGUCCAUUUGGUUGGGGGGUUGUAUCUGGUGGGAAGGACAUUAGUUGGGUAUGUAGGAUCUAACUUUUGUGCCAAGCUGAGUGACCCUGUGGGCUCAGGUGAAUCACUUCAUUUCUUGAUCUUCAGUGUUCCCAAAAAGUAAACAAGGG
rnacentral:lncRNA from 1 species